rnacentral:rRNA from 1 species
GCGCGAAAACUUUACAAUGCGAGCAAUCGUGAUAAGGGAACUCCGAGUGCCUGUAAAAUCAGGCUGUCCGCCAGUGUAAAUAACUGGCGAAGAAAGGGCCGGGCAAGACCGGUGCCAGCCGCCGCGGUAAUACCGGCGGCUCGAGUGGUGGCCACUAUUACUGGGCUUAAAGCGUUCGUAGCUGGCCUGUUAAGUCUCUGGGGAAAUCUUCCGGCUCAACCGGAAGGCGUCUCAGGGAUACUGGCAGGCUAGGGACCGGAAGAGGUGAGAAGUACUCCAGGGGUAGGAGUGAAAUCCUGUAAUCCUUGGGGGACCACCUGUGGCGAAGGCGUCUCACCAGGACGGCUCCGACAGUGAGGAACGAAAGCUGGGGGAGCAAACA